AGUGAACGCUGGUGGUAGGCCUAACACAUGCAAGUCGAACGGCAGCACAGUAAGAGCUUGCUCUUACGGGUGGCGAGUGGCGGACGGGUGAGGAAUACAUCGGAAUCUACUUUUUCGUGGGGGAUAACGUAGGGAAACUUACGCUAAUACCGCAUACGACCUACGGGUGAAAGCAGGGGAUCUUCGGACCUUGCGCGAUUGAAUGAGCCGAUGUCGGAUUAGCUAGUUGGCGGGGUAAAGGCCCACCAAGGCGACGAUCCGUAGCUGGUCUGAGAGGAUGAUCAGCCACACUGGAACUGAGACACGGUCCAGACUCCUACGGGAGGCAGCAGUGGGGAAUAUUGGACAAUGGGCGCAAGCCUGAUCCAGCCAUACCGCGUGGGUGAAGAAGGCCUUCGGGUUGUAAAGCCCUUUUGUUGGGAAAGAAAAGCAGCAGGCUAAUACCCCGCUGUUCUGACGGUACCCAAAGAAUAAGCACCGGCUAACUUCGUG
rnacentral:rRNA from 1 species